GAUGAACGCUGGCGGCGUGCCUAAUACAUGCAAGUCGAGCGAACGGACGAGAAGCUUGCUUUUCUGAUGUUAGCGGCGGACGGGUGAGUAACACGUGGAUAACCUACCUAUAAGACUGGGAUAACUUCGGGAAACCGGAGCUAAUACCGGAUAAUAUUUUGAACCGCAUGGUUCAAAAGUGAAAGACGGUCUUGCCGUCACUUAUAGAUGGAUCCGCGCUGCAUUAGCUAGUUGGUAAGGUAACGGCUUACCAAGGCAACGAUGCAUAGCUGACCUGAGAGGGUGAUCGGCCACACUGGAACUGAGACACGGUCCAGACUCCUACGGGAGGCAGCAGUAGGGAAUCUUCCGCAAUGGGCGAAAGCCUGACGGAGCAACGCCGCGUGAGUGAUGAAGGUCUUCGGAUCGUAAAACUCUGUUAUUAGGGAAGAACAUAUGUGUAAGUAACUGUGCACAUCUUGACGGUACCUAAUCAGAAAGCCACGGCUAACUACGUG
rnacentral:rRNA from 1 species